rnacentral:tRNA from 1 species
GUAAGUAUGUUGAAAUUGGUAGCCAAGCUGUAUUUAGGAUACAGUAGUUUAUACUAUGUGGGUUCAAGUCCCACUACUUACA